GUGAGUACCUGCAGUAUAAUGAAAUGAGGAUGCCUAAUAGUUCCCAAGACAUACAGAUCUAGAUUUAAGAAGAAAGGUCAGAACUAUGAAUACUGGGGAAUUACCAAGAUCACAGCUGAUGCUCCAAUUCAAUUCUGAAUCUCACAAAAAGUUCACAGAAGACUGUACAGAUGUGAAGUGUGACAGGCACCGCAGAACCACAAAAAUUCCUAUUCCUCACUUUUUACAGAGAAAGCACACGGUAAAAAAAAAAAAAAAAAAAAAAAAAAA